UACAGAGGUCUCAAGCGUUGUUCGGAUUCAUUGGGCGUAAAGGGUGCGUAGGUGGCGCCGUAAGUCAGGUGUGAAAUUUCGGAGCUUAACUCCGAAACUGCAUUCGAUACUGGCGUGCUUGAGGACUGGAGAGGAGACUGGAAUUCAUGGUGUAGCAGUGAAAUGCGUAGAGAUCAUGAGGAAGACCAGUGGCGAAGGCGGGUCUCUGGACAGUUCCUGACACUGAGGCACGAAGGCCAGGGGAGCAAACGGG
rnacentral:rRNA from 1 species